UACAAUUUUCAAAAAGGAAUAAUAAUCUACAAGCAGUGGAAAAAUUUUAAGCAACUAUUUAGCAGUACUGUUAUUUCAUAUUUCAUUUCCACUGGUUUGCAACAAUGUCUGCAAGAUCCACCACCCUCUGUGAGUAACCCCAUUCAUUGUCAUACCAAGCAAUAACCUUAACCAUGUCAUCUCCCAUGACCAUAGUAAGUGAAGCAUCAACAGUUGAUGACACAUCACUGCACCGGAAGUCGACCGACACGAGUGGUUCAUCGCAGACAUCGAGAAUGCCUUUGAGCUCCUUGUCAGCAGCCUCCCUAAAUGCAGCAUUCACUUCCUCAGCAAAUGUCUUCUUGGUGACUUGAACGACAAGGUCCACGACAGAGACGUUAGGGGUUGGCACACGGAGGGCAAUGCCGUUGAGCUUCCCCUUAAGGCUUGGGAGGACAAGGGCCACGGCCUUAGCAGCACCAGUUGAGGUUGGAACUAUGUUGAGGGCUGCAGCUCGUGCACGUCUAAGGUCCCUGUGGCUCGCAUCAAGAAGCCUUUGGUCACCAGUGUAAGAGUGAGUAGUUGUCAUGGUUCCCUUGAUAAUGCCUAUGCAAGAAAAAAUAUUAGUUUAUGAAUUUAAGUUAUAUGCACUGACAGUAAAAGACAGUAAUGCUCGUGUAUAACUAGAUAAAGGUGUAUUACCGAAUUUUUGGUCAAGAACCUUGACAAAAGGAGCAAGGCAGUUGGUGGUGCAAGAGGCAUUGCUGAUGAUUGGUUCAUCAGGGUUGUAGAGAUCAGCAUUGACACCAACAACAUAUGUGGGGAUGUCACCUUUUCCGGGAGCGGUGAUGAGCACCUUCUUGGCUCCGGCCUGGAUGUGUUUUCCGGCACCUUCUCUGUCGACAAACACUCCGGUACCUUCUAUUACCAAGUCAAUCCCAAGAUCUCUGAACACAUUACACAAACAUUUUGAACAUUAGUAGCUGUUAGAGGUUGAAGGGGAGCCUUGGCGUAACUGGUAAGUUGUUGCCAUGUAACCAGGAGGUCACGGGUUCAAGCCGUGGAAACAAUAUCUUGCAGAAAGGGUAAGGCUGCGUACAAUAGACCCUUGUGGUCCGGUCCCUCCCCGGACCCCGCGCAUAGCGGGAGCUUAGUGCAACGGACUGCCCUUUAGUAGCUGUUAGAGGUUGACCAGAUAUCACAAGCUAGUAUUAUACUAGACAGUACAUGAGCUAAGUUAAGCAUGUUAUCAUGAUUCAUUUCUAGCUACUCACUGUUGGACAAUGUUAAAACUUAGAACUACUGUUUCAUAUUUUUGUUUUUUGUUCUCAGCAUAAUGACAAUCACUUGCAAUGCUCGUCCAAGUUGUGCUUGGACCACACAUAUUGCAUUAAUCACACUAAGAACAAAUGGAUUGCUAUUUUGUGAUAAUUCAAAUUUUUGUACAUUGAAAGUAUAAUGAAUCUUUUACACUAUCCAUACUUAGAAACCAAUUAUAGAUGACAACAAAUAGUAAGGUAAAUUUUUUUAACUCGAGAAAAGAGGAUAACUAACUUACUAUAGCCGGUUAAGUUACCGUUAAGAUAUAAAUUUCCUUACAAUAUAUAUAUAUAUGAAUGUAUAUAACUUAAAUCCUUUCAUUACAUGUUAGUAUGAAAGAACUUACCCCCAGGGGAGGUUGACGGGGUUGCGGUUGGAGACGACUUGGAUGACUUUUCCGUCGACGGAGAUGCCGUCAGUGCCGACAGGCUUGACGUCAGCAUCAAAGAUGCCAAGGGUGGAGUCAUAUUUGAGAAGGUGAGAGGCUUGCUUGACACCACCAGUGUCAUUGAUGGCAAUGACAUCAAGGGGAGAGUCUUUCCUACCAUGCCAACACCUCAAGAAAUUCCUUCC
rnacentral:lncRNA from 1 species